UGGGGAAUAUUGGACAAUGGGGGCAACCCUGAUCCAGCCAUGUCGCGUGUGUGAAGAAGGCCUUUUGGUUGUAAAGCACUUUAAGCAGUGAAGAAGACUCCAUGGUUAAUACCCAUGGACGAUGACAUUAGCUGCAGAAUAAGCACCGGCUAACUCUGUGCCAGCAGCCGCGGUAAUACAGAGGGUGCAAGCGUUAAUCGGAAUUACUGGGCGUAAAGCGAGCGUAGGUGGCUUGAUAAGUCAGAUGUGAAAGCCCCGGGCUUAACCUGGGAACGGCAUCUGAUACUGUUAGGCUAGAGUAGGUGAGAGGAAGGUAGAAUUCCAGGUGUAGCGGUGAAAUGCGUAGAGAUCUGGAGGAAUACCGAUGGCGAAGGCAGCCUUCUGGCAUCAUACUGACACUGAGGUUCGAAAGCGUGGGUAGCAAACA
rnacentral:rRNA from 1 species